GUGCAGGUUGCAAGUCUUGCUUCUUGAGAUAGGCAAGAUAGUGAUGUUCAAGAAGACAACUUUUGCUUCUUGAAAUAAGCAAAUUAGCAAUCUUUGCUACUUAAGAUAGGCAAGCUAGCAAUCAAGUUUUUGCAUCUUCUUGACUUGUGCAAGCUAGCUAUCUCCCACUUUGUCAUUGUCAAAAAGAAGGGAAGACCCAUUACAUCAAUUAUGACAAAGGUAAGUAUCAAUCUUAAUUGUGCAUCAUCAUAUUUUCAAAUUAGAAUAUGCAUAUUUUCAAAAACCUUAUAUUC
rnacentral:lncRNA from 1 species